rnacentral:rRNA from 1 species
UACGGGGGGGGGUAAGCGUUGUUCGGAAUUACUGGGCGUAAAGGGCUCGUAGGCGGCCAACUAAGUCAGACGUGAAAAUCCCUCAGCUUAACUGGGGAACUGCGUCUGAUACUGGAUGGCUUUGGAUUUGGGGAGAGGAAUGCGGAAUUCCAGGUGUAGCGGUGAAAUGCGUAGAUAUCUGGAGGAACACCGGUGGCGAAGGCGGCAUUCUGGACCAAUAUUGACGCUGAGGAGCGAAAGCCAGGGGAGCAAAACGGG